AGCAUUACAAUAUGUAUAAACUUCUUGAAUCAGACUCUUGAAAUGAAAUUAUAUCAUCAUGCAUGAUGAUAUCUCUUUUAAUUACAAAGAAGCACAAAAAAUAUAUUGCCAGAUUAUCCAUGUGCAUCGUCAGCACGGAAUUAGGGGAACCACCAUUUAUUUUUACGUCGUGAGACGGAACUCAUUGGAAAGGUGUUAUUUCAAUAAUAUCAGAAUUAUUUCCUUGUUAGUCAUUAUUAAUGUUAAUUUCAACAUGCAUUUGACCGUGAAAGUGUUAAACGGCGAAGAAUGUACUGUUUCUGCUUCCCCAAGUAGUAUGGUAACAGACAUAAAAGAACAGGUAUCAGCUUUAUUAGGAGUACCAGCUUCAAGUCAACGAUUAACAUUUAAAGGAAAGACUAUGCUAG